rnacentral:tRNA from 1 species
GGCCGUGUGCCCGAGUGGUUCAGGGGCUCGCCUGCGCUGCAUCCAUCAGCGAGCUCCGCUCGCGGGGAGUUACGUGGGUUCGAAUCCCGCCACGGCCUCCA